rnacentral:rRNA from 1 species
UGGUGGAUUAGUGGCGAACGGGUGAGUAACACGUGGGCAAUCUGCCCUUCACUCUGGGACAAGCCCUGGAAACGGGGUCUAAUACCGGAUAACACUCUGUUCCGCAUGGAACGGGGUUGAAAGCUCCGCGGUGAAGGAUGAGCCCGCGGCCUAUCAGCUUGUUGGUGGGGUAAUGGCCUACCAAGGCGACGACGGGUAGCCGGCCUGAGAGGGCGACCGGCCACACUGGGACUGAGACACGGCCCAGACUCCUAGGGAGGCAGCAGUGGGGAAUAUUGCACAAUGGGCGAAAGCCUGAUGCAGCGACGCCGCGUGAGGGAUGACGGCCUUCGGGUUGUAAACCUCUUUCAGCAGGGAAGAAGCGCAAGUGACGGUACCUGCGAAGAAGCGCCGGCUAACUACGUGCCAGCAGCCGCGGUAAUACGUAGGGCGCAAGCGUUGUCCGGAAUUAUUGGGCGUAAAGAGCUCGUAGGCGGCUUGUCACGUCGGAUGUGACGUCGGAUGUGAAAGCCCCGGGGCUUAAACCCCGGGUCUGCAUUCGAUACGGGCCUAGCUAGAGUGUGGUAGGGGAGAUCGGAAUUUCCUGGUGUAGCGGUGAAAUGCGCAGAUACAGGAGGAACACCGGUGGCGAAGGCGGAUCUCUGGGCCAUUACUGACGCUGAGGAGCGAAAGCGUGGGGAGCGAACAGGAUUAGAUACCCUGGUAGUCCACGCCGUAAACGUUGGGAACUAGGUGUUGCGACAUUCCACGUCGUCGGUGCCGCAGCUAACGCAUUAAGUUCCCCGCCUGGGGAGUACGGCCGCAAGGCUAAAACUCAAAGGAAUUGACGGGGGCCCGCACAAGCAGCGGAGCAUGUGGCUUAAUUCGACGCAACGCGAAGAACCUUACCAAGGCUUGACAUAUACCGGAAAGCAUCGAGAUGGUGCCCCCCUUGUGGUCGGUAUACAGGUGGUGCAUGGCUGUCGUCAGCUCGUGUCGUGAGAUGUUGGGUUAAGUCCCGCAACGAGCGCAACCCUUGUUCUGUGUUGCCAGCAUGCCUUUCGGGUGAUGGGGACUCACAGGAGACUGCCGGGGUCAACUCGGAGGAAGGUGGGGACGACGUCAAGUCAUCAUGCCCCUUAUGUCUUGGGCUGCACACGUGCUACAAUGGCCGGUACAAUGAGCUGCGAUCCGUGAGGCGGAGCGAAUCUCAAAAAGCCGGUCUCAGUUCGGAUUGGGGUCUGCAACUCGACCCCAUGAAGUCGGAGUUGCUAGUAAUCGCAGAUCAGCAUUGCUGCGGUGAAUACGUUCCCGGGCCUGUACACACCGCCCGUCACGUCACGAAAGUCGGUAACACCCGAAGCCGGUGGCCCAACCCCUUGUGGGAGGGAGCUGUCGAAGGUGGGACUGGCGAUUGGGACGAAGUCGUAACAAGGUAGCCGUACGGAAGGUGCGGUUGGAUCCACCCUCC